rnacentral:rRNA from 1 species
UACAGAGGGUGCAAGCGUUAAUCGGAAUUAUUGGGCGUAAAGGGCUUGUAGGCGGUUUAUUAAGUUAGGUGUGAAAACCCUGGGCUCAACCUGGGGCUGGCAUCUAAUACUGGUAAGCUAGAGUAUAGGAGAGGAGAAGGGAAUUUCUGGUGUAGCGGUGAAAUGCGCAGAUAUCAGGAAGAACACCAAUGGCGAAGGCAGCUCUCUGGGACGGUACUGACGCUGAGACGCGAAAGCGUGGGGAGCGAACAGG